rnacentral:rRNA from 1 species
UACGAAGGGUGCAAACGUUGCUCGGAAUUAUUGGGCGUAAAGCGCACGUAGGCGGCUCUCUAAGUCGGAUGUGAAAUCCUUUGGCUCAACCAAAGAAGUGCAUUCGAAACUGGAGAGCUUGAGUACUUAAGAGGAUCGCGGAAUUCCCGGUGUAGAGGUGAAAUUCGUAGAUAUCGGGAGGAACACCAGUGGCGAAGGCGGUUCUCUGGGCCUUACCUGACACUGAGGAGCGGAAGCGUGGGGAGCGAACAGG